rnacentral:rRNA from 1 species
AUGCACGCUGGCGGCGUGCCUAAUACCUGCAAGUCGCUCGCACGGACGAGAAGCUUGCUUCUCUGAUGUUAGCGGCGGACGGGUGAGUAACACGUGGAUAACCUACCUAUAAGACUGGGAUAACUUCGGGAAACCGGAGCUAAUACCGGAUAAUAUUUUGAACCGCAUGGUUCAAAAGUGAAAGACGGUCUUGCUGUCACUUAUAGAUGGAUCCGCGCUGCAUUAGCUAGUUGGUAAGGUAACGGCUUACCAAGGCAACGAUGCAUAGCCGACCUGAGAGGGUGAUCGGCCACACUGGAACUGAGACACGGUCCAGACUCCUACGGGAGGCAGCAGUAGGGAAUCUUCCGCAAUGGGCGAAAGCCUGACGGAGCAACGCCGCGUGAGUGAUGAAGGUCUUCGGAUCGUAAAACUCUGUUAUUAGGGAAGAACAUAUGUGUAAGUAACUGUGCACAUCUUGACGGUACCUAAUCAGAAAGCCACGGCUAACUACGUG